GAUGAACGCUGGCGGCGUGCCUAAUACAUGCAAGUCGAACGCUUCACUUCGGUGAAGAGUGGCGAACGGGUGAGUAAUACAUAAGUAACCUGGCAUCUACAGGGGGAUAACUGAUGGAAACGUCAGCUAAGACCGCAUAGGUGUAGAGAUCGCAUGAACUCUAUAUGAAAAGUGCUACGGGACUGGUAGAUGAUGGACUUAUGGCGCAUUAGCUUGUUGGUAGGGUAACGGCCUACCAAGGCGACGAUGCGUAGCCGACCUGAGAGGGUGACCGGCCACACUGGGACUGAGACACGGCCCAGACUCCUACGGGAGGCAGCAGUAGGGAAUUUUCGGCAAUGGUGGAAACCCUGACCGAGCAACGCCGCGUGAAGGAAGAAGUAAUUCGUUAUGUAAACUUCUGUCAUAGAGGAAGAACGGUGGAUAUAGGGAAUGAUAUCCAAGUGACGGUACUCUAUAAGAAAGCCACGGCUAACUACGUG
rnacentral:rRNA from 1 species